GGAUAUGAUGUUGGCGAAGGGAAAGCAUACUUGUUUUCCAAACAAGAAGUCUCGGUUCGAAUCCGGGUAUCCACU
rnacentral:tRNA from 1 species